AGUCCAAGGAGCUGUUUUCCUAAGGGUUUUGCAUUGUAGGCUUCAGUCCUGCAAGAGGACUCUGCUUACCAAGGACUCUGCACAGAGCUGCUCCCCCUCAGGUGUCGAGGGGUCAUUUACGUAGGAUCUAAAAUGAAAGAUAUAAAGAAGAGGACACGACAGACAAGAAGACUUUUCUGGCUUUAUGAAACUCUGUGGAAAAAAUGUAAUCCUGAACACUAGAAAAUGAAGCCCUCUUCCAAUAAGAAUGGAAUCAAUGAUUUUGUGCCAAAUUGUUUACCCAAGAACCUGAAAAUUAUCUAACAGCUGACCUGGCAGACAGCUGAGAUGAGAAAAGGUAGUGUGGCAGAGCUGAGAGGAAGACAAUAUGAUGCAAGCAGUAACAAUGGAUAGCUUGGAAAAUGUGAUGAUAAAUACCAAAAUGUUAAGCUUGCAUCCACACCACUCGUUUGCUUUAAAAAUAAAAAAAUU